GCAGCAAGCUGGACGAUCGCUGCCCUGAGCGAGCGGCGCACGCGAGUGCGCCGUGAGUCGAAGGGGAGAGGAAAGUCCGAACUCCGGAGGGCAGUGCGCCGGGUAACGCCCGGUCGGGGCAACUCGAAGGACAGUGGCACAGAAAACACACCGCUAACCUGUGGGGUCCGGCUUCAGCCGGACCUUCAGAAGCAAGGGUGAAAAGGUGCGGUAAGAGCGCACCGCGCCCGUGGUAACACGGGUGGCAGGCAAAACCCCGCAUGGAGCAAGACCAAAUAGGGAGGCGUUUUCAGGACGGCCCGUCCGAAGCCUCCGGGUCGGUCGCUUGAUCUCGCCAGCAAUGGCGAGGCUAGAGGAAUGAUCGUCACGCCGAAGCGCCGAAAGGCGCGGAGGCGGACAGAAUUCGGCUUACGGCUUGCUGCGACA
rnacentral:RNase_P_RNA from 1 species